rnacentral:rRNA from 1 species
UGGCGAUAUACGGUCAGCGGCCAAGCGAAAGCGUUAAGCAUCCCACNUGGGGAGUACGCCGGCAANCGGUGAAACUCAAAGGAAUUGANCGGGGGCCCGCACAAGCGGAGGAACAUGUGGUUUAAUUCGAUGAUACGCGAGGAACCUUACCCGGGCUUGAACUGCAGCGGAAGGAUGCGGAGACGCUGACGCCCCUCGGGGCCGCUGUGGAGGUGCUGCAUGGUUGUCGUCAGCUCGUGCCGUGAGGUGUCGGCUUAAGUGCCAUAACGAGCGCAACCCCUCUCCUCAGUUGCCAUCAGGUAGGGCUGGGCACUCUGGGGACACUGCCGCCGUAAGGUGUGAGGAAGGUGGGGAUGACGUCAAAUCAGCACGGCCCUUACGUCCGGGGCUACACACGUGUUACAAUGGGUGGUACAGAGAGCCGGGUGCCCGCAAGGUCUCCCUAAUCCUAAAAGCCAUCCUCAGUUCGGAUUGGGGUCUGCAACCCGACCCCAUGAAGCUGGAUUCGCUAGUAAUCGCGCAUCAGCCAUGGCGCGGUGAAUACGUUCCCGGGCCUUGUACACACCGCCCGUCAAGCCAUGAAAGCCGGGGGCGCCUGAAGUCCGUGACCGCGAGGGUCGGCCUAGGGUGAAACCGGUGAUUGGGGCUAAGUCGUAACAAGGUACC